AAUAGAUACCCAGGUAGUCCACGCCGUAAACGAUGUCGACUUGGAGGUUGUGCCCUUGAGGCGUGGCUUCCGGAGCCAACGCGUUAAGUCGACCGCCUGGGGAGUACGGCCGCAAGGUUAAAACUCAAAUGAAUUGACGGGGGCCCGCACAAGCGGUGGAGCAUGUGGUUUAAUUCGAUGCAACGCGAAGAACCUUACCUACUCUUGACAUCCAGAGAACUUGGCAGAGAUGCCUUGGUGCCUUCGGGAACUCUGAGACAGGUGCUGCAUGGCUGUCGUCAGCUCGUGUUGUGAAAUGUUGGGUUAAGUCCCGCAACGAGCGCAACCCUUAUCCUUUGUUGCCAGCGGUCCGGCCGGGAACUCAAAGGAGACUGCCAGUGAUAAACUGGAGGAAGGUGGGGAUGACGUCAAGUCAUCAUGGCCCUUACGAGUAGGGCUACACACGUGCUACAAUGGCGCAUACAAAGAGAAGCGACCUCGCGAGAGCAAGCGGACCUCAUAAAGUGCGUCGUAGUCCGGA
rnacentral:rRNA from 1 species